AUUGAACGCUGGCGGCAGGCCUAACACAUGCAAGUCGAGCGAGCGGCGGACGGGUGAGUAAUGGCUGGGAAACUGCCUGAUGGAGGGGGAUAACUACUGGAAACGGUAGCUAAUACCGCAUACCAUCAGAUGUGCCCAGAUGGGAUUAGCUGGUAGGUGGGGUAACGGCCAACCUAGGCGACGGUCCCUAGCUGGUCUGAGAGGAUGACCAGCCACACUGGAACUGAGACACGGUCCAGACUCCUACGGGAGGCAGCAGUGGGGAAUAUUGCACAAUGGGCGAAAGCCUGAUGCAGCCAUGCCGCGUGUGUGAAGAAGGCCUUCGGGUUGUAAAGCACUUUCAGCGGGGAGGCGUUACCCGCAGAAGAAGCACCGGCUAACUCCGUGCCAGCAGCCGCGGUAAUUC
rnacentral:rRNA from 1 species